rnacentral:rRNA from 2 species
GACGAACCGUGCAAACGUUGUUCGGAAUCACUGGGCUUAAAGGGCGCGUAGGCGGGUUGCCAAGUCCGGGGUGAAAGCCUCCAGCUCAACUGGAGAAGUGCCUUGGAUACUGGUGAUCUCGAGGGAGGUAGGGGCAUGCGGAACUUCCGGUGGAGCGGUGAAAUGCGUAGAUAUCGGAAGGAACGCCGGUGGCGAAAGCGGCGUGCUGGACCUCUUCUGACGCUGAGGCGCGAAAGCCAGGGGAGCAAACGGG